rnacentral:rRNA from 1 species
CUAUCUGCAGUCGAACGCUUUUUCUUUCCCGGAGCUUGCUCCACCGAAAGAAAAAGAGUGGCGAACGGGUGAGUAACACGUGGGUAACCUGCCCAUCAGAAGGGGAUAACACUUGGAAACAGGUGCUAAUACCGUAUAACACUAUUUUCCGCAUGGAAGAAAGUUGAAAGGCGCUUUUGCGUCACUGAUGGAUGGACCCGCGGUGCAUUAGCUAGUUGGUGAGGUAACGGCUCACCAAGGCAACGAUGCAUAGCCGACCUGAGAGGGUGAUCGGCCACACUGGGACUGAGACACGGCCCAGACUCCUACGGGAGGCAGCAGUAGGGAAUCUUCGGCAAUGGACGAAAGUCUGACCGAGCAACGCCGCGUGAGUGAAGAAGGUUUUCGGAUCGUAAAACUCUGUUGUUAGAGAAGAACAUGGAUGAGAGUAAAAUGUUCAUCCCUUGACGGUAUCUAACCAGAAAGCCACGGCUAACUA